UGGGGAAUAUUGGACAAUGGGCGAAAGCCUGAUCCAGCCAUGCCGCGUGUGUGAAGAAGGCCUUUUGGUUGUAAAGCACUUUAAGUAGGGAGGAAAAGCUAAUGGUUAAUACCCAUUAGCCCUGACGUUACCUACAGAAUAAGCACCGGCUAACUCUGUGCCAGCAGCCGCGGUAAUACAGAGGGUGCAAGCGUUAAUCGGAAUUACUGGGCGUAAAGCGCGCGUAGGUGGUUACUUAAGUCAGAUGUGAAAGCCCCGGGCUUAACCUGGGAACUGCAUCUGAUACUGGGUGACUAGAGUAGGUGAGAGGGGAGUAGAAUUCCAGGUGUAGCGGUGAAAUGCGUAGAGAUCUGGAGGAAUACCGAUGGCGAAGGCAGCUCCCUGGCAUCAUACUGACACUGAGGUGCGAAAGCGUGGGUAGCAAACAGGAUUAGAUACCCUGGUAGU
rnacentral:rRNA from 1 species